rnacentral:rRNA from 1 species
UACAGAGGGGGCGAGCGUUGUUCGGAAUUACUGGGCGUAAAGGGCGCGUAGGCGGCCUUCUAAGUCGAACGUGAAAUCCCCGGGCUCAACCCGGGAACUGCGUCCGAUACUGGAAGGCUUGAAUCCGGGAGAGGGAUGUGGAAUUCCAGGUGUAGCGGUGAAAUGCGUAGAUAUCUGGAGGAACACCGGUGGCGAAGGCGACAUCCUGGACCGGUAUUGACGCUGAGGCGCGAAAGCCAGGGGAGCAAACGGG